GGGAUGCGAGCGUUAUCCGGAUUUAUUGGGUUUAAAGGGUGCGUAGGCGGCGCUUCAGGUCAGCGGUGAAAUACCGGGGCUCAACCCCGGGGCUGCCGUUGAAACCGGAGCGCUAGAAUUCCGAUGCCGUCGGAGGAAUGUGUGGUGUAGCGGUGAAAUGCAUAGAUAUCACACAGAACACCGAUUGCGAAGGCAUCUGACGAAUCGGAGAUUGACGCUGAUGCACGAAAGCGUGGGUAUCGAACAGGAUUAGAUACCCUGGUAGUCCACGCUGUAAACGAUGAUGACUAGCCGUCGGCGAUACAGUGUCGGUGGUCAAGCGAAAGCGAUAAGUCAUCCACCUGGGGAGUACGGCCGCAAGGCUG
rnacentral:rRNA from 1 species